GACGAACGCUGGCGGCGUGCCUAAUACAUGCAAGUCGAACGCAGUGGGGACGGGUGAGUAACACGUGGGUAACCUCCCAUCAGAGGGGAUAACACUUGGAAACAGGUGCUAAACCGAUACUGAUGGAUGGACCCGCGGUGCAUUAGCUAGUUGGGGAGGUAACGGCUCACCAAGGCCACGAUGCAUAGCCGACAGGAGAGGGUGAUCGGCAAAAUGUGGACUGAGACACGGCCCAGACUCCAACGGGAGGAAGAAGUAGGGAAUCUUGGGCAAUGGACGAAAGUCUGACCGAGCAACGCCGCGUGAGUGAAGAAGGUUUUCGGAUCGUAAAACUCUGUGGUUAGAGAAGCGGUAUCUAACCAGAAAGCAACGGCUAACUCCGUGCCAGCAGCCGCGGUAAUAC
rnacentral:rRNA from 1 species